rnacentral:rRNA from 1 species
GACGAACGCUGGCGGCGUGCUUAACACAUGCAAGUCGAACGGAAAGGCCUGCUUUCCCUUGUGGAUUGCGGGUACUCGAGUGGCGAAUGGGUGAGUAACACGUGAGUGAUCUGCCCCCAACUUGGGUAUAAGCCUGGGAAACUGGGUCUAAUUCCCGAUAGGACUGCAGGGUGGUGCCUGUGGUGGAAAACGAUUUUCUAGUGGUUGGGGAUGAGCUCGCGGCCUAUCAGCUUGUUGGUGGGGUAAUGGCCUACCAAGGCGGCGACGGGUAGCCGGCCUGAGAGGGUGGACGGCCACAUUGGGACUGAGAUACGGCCCAGACUCCUACGGGAGGCAGCAGUGGGGAAUAUUACACAAUGGGCGGAAGCCUGAUGCAGCGACGCCGCGUGGGGGAUGACGGCCUUCGGGUUGUAAACUCCUUUCGACCGCGAGGAAGCCACCUGGUUGGAAGGGUGGUGACGGUAGUGGUAGAAGAAGCACCGGCUAACUACGUG